rfam:TPA: Bos taurus chromosome 4, whole genome shotgun sequence.
UCCCUGGUGGUCUGGUGGUUAAGACUCUGUGCUUCUAAUGCAGAAGGUGCAGAUUCGAUCCCUAAUCAGGGAU